UAAUAGAGCAUUCUGUUACGGCUUUGCGAGCAGAGAUAUUGCAUCACUAAAUUGAUUGCUUGGCUAGGAAUGGGAUGUAAGCUUGGAAGCAUUUCUCCCCAGAACUGGGAAAGGCAGGACUCCUUUGACUUUUCUUGUACUGAUAUUGGUAAUUCCCUGCUCAGACUAGAAAUAAGCACUGACCUGAAUCAUCACCAUUCUUUCCUGUUCGUCAGCCAAUAUGCUUUUCGCUACUUCAAGUUUCUUCUUCAAUGUGUUCAAUAUCCCCUGGAAUAAUUUCUGCAGAGAAAUAGAUCACAGAAUUCCAGGACACUGCUGGGAGGAAUGGGAAUGGCAAAGGCAAGCUCUGUCCUCCAGAUCAGCUAAUAAGAGGAGGCAGCCAGGGUCCGAGCGCUCCGGGCCCCACAGGACACUCACCCUGUGACCGCCGGGCGCUCGGGGGCCCGCAAGACGCUCACCCUGUGACGGCAGGGAGCUCCGGAGCCCGCAGGAGGCUGCCCUAUGACGGCUGGGGGCUCUGGAGUCCACAGGUGGCUCACCCUGCGACGGGCGGGCGCUCUGGGGCCCGCAGGAGGCUCACCCUGUGACGGCCAGGCGCUCUGAGGUCCGCAAGAUGCCCACACUGUGACGGCCAGGCACUCUUGAGCCUGCAGGAGGUUCACCCUGUGACGGCCUGGAGCUCUGGGAUUCAGAAGAAGCUCACCUUGCGACAGCUGGGCGCUCUAGGGCCCGCAAGAGGCUCAUCCUACGGCGACGAGUCUCUCGGGCCGCAGGAGGCUGACCAUGUGACGACCGGGCGCUCCAGGGCCCACAGGAGGCUCCCCCUGUGACAUCCAGGCGCUCCCGGGCCUGCAGGAGGCUCACCCUGUGACGGCCAUGCACUCUGGCUGCAGAAGGCUCAACCUGGGGCCUGCAGGAGGCUCACCCUGUGACGGCCAUGCGCUCCGGCCGCAGGAGGCUCACCCUGUGAAAGCCGGUCGCUCCCAGGCUUGCAGGAGGCUCACCCUGUGACAUCCGGGCGCUCCAGGGCCCACAGGAGGCUCCCCCUGUGACAUCCGGGCACUCCCGGGCCUGCAGGAGGCUCACCGUGUGACGGCCAUGCACUCUGGCUGCAGGAGGCUCAACCUGGGGCCCGCAGGAGCCUCACCGUGUGACGGUCAUGCGCUCCGGCCGCAGGAGGCUCAUCCUGUGACAUCCGGGCGCUCCCGGGCCUGCAGGAGGCUCACCCUGUGACAUCCAGGCGCUUCCGGGCCUGCAGGAGGCUCACCCUGUCGGGGCCGGGCGCUCCGGGGCCUGCAGGAGGCUCACCCUGUGACAUCCGGGCAUCUCUGUGGCCUGCA